UUUAACUGGGGCGGUUACCUUCUCAAAAGUAACGAGGGUAAACAAUAGACAUUAUUAAAUCUGAACUAGUAAAAUAGUGUUUGACUGCAAGAUACACAAAUCAAGCAGGGGUGA
rnacentral:rRNA from 1 species